ACCCGCUGAACUUAAGCAUAUCAAUAAGCGGAGGAAAAGAAACCAACAGGGAUUGCCCUAGUAACGGCGAGUGAAGCGGCAACAGCUCAAAUUUGAAAUCUGGCCCUCGGGUCCGAGUUGUAAUUUGUAGAGGAUGCUUUUGGUGCAGUGCCUUCCGAGUUCCUUGGAACAGGACGCCUUAAAGGGUGAGAGCCCCGUACGGUUGGACACUAAGCCUCUGUAAAGCUCCUUCGACGAGUCGAGUAGUUUGGGAAUGCUGCUCUAAAUGGGAGGUAAAUUUCUUCUAAAGCUAAAUACCGGCCAGAGACCGAUAGCGCACAAGUAGAGUGAUCGAAAGAUGAAAAGUACUUUGAAAAGAGGGUUAAAUAGCACGUGAAAUUGUUGAAAGGGAAGCGUUUAUGACCAGACCUUUGUCUAGCGGAUCAUCCGGUGUUCUUCACCGGUGCACUUCGCUAGGCUCAGGCCAGCAUCGGUUUCUGUAGGGGGAUAAAGACCAUGGGAACGUAGCUCUCUCCGGGGAGUGUUAUAGCCCUAGGUGUAAUACCUCUACGGGGACCGAGGUUCGCGCUUCUGCAAGGAUGCUGGCGUAAUGGUCAUCAACGACCCGUCUUGAAACACGGACC
rnacentral:rRNA from 1 species